GAAAACUACGAGCAUAAGCUUAAAAAUCAAAGGAUUUGGCGGCGCUUUAGACCUCCUAGAGGAGCUUGUCCUAUUAUCGACACUCCUCGCUCAACCUUACCUUCUUUAGCCUUCAGCCUAUAUACCGCCGUCAUAAGUUCACCCUUCGAAGGUUUUGUAAUGGACAAAAAUCGGUCAAUACCCCUAAAGUCAGGUCAAGGUAUAGCAUACGAGAAGUGAAGAGAUGAGCUACACUUCCUACACAGGACUUACGGAAGAUUUUUUGAAAUAAAAAUCAAAGUAGAAUUUAGCAGUAAGUAAAAAAUAGAGUGUUUUACUGAAAUUGAACCUAAACCGCGUACACACCGCCCGUCGCUCUCUCCUAAUCUUUAUCCAAACAUUAAUAAACCUACAUAUUCCUCAAGGAGAGGAAAGUCGUAACAUGGUAAGCGUACUGGAAAGUGCGCUUGAUUAAU
rnacentral:rRNA from 1 species